AUUGAACGCUGGCGGCAUGCCUUACACAUGCAAGUCGAACGGUAACAGGUCUUCGGAUGCUGACGAGUGGCGAACGGGUGAGUAAUGCAUCGGAACGUGCCCAGUAGUGGGGGAUAGCCCGGCGAAAGCCGGAUUAAUACCGCAUACGACCUGAGGGUGAAAGGGGGGGAUCGCAAGACCUCUCGCUAUUGGAGCGGCCGAUGUCAGAUUAGCUAGUUGGUGGGGUAAAGGCCUACCAAGGCAACGAUCUGUAGUUGGUCUGAGAGGACGACCAGCCACACUGGGACUGAGACACGGCCAAGACUCCUACGGGAGGCAGCAGUGGGGAAUUUUGGACAAUGGGCGCAAGCCUGAUCCAGCAAUGCGGCGUGCAGGAAGAAGGCCUUCGGGUUGUAAACUGCUUUUGUCAGGGAAGAAAUCUUCUGGGUUAAUACCUCGGGAGGAUGACGGUACCUGAAGAAUAGGCACCGGCUAACUACGUGCCAGCAGCCGCCGUAAAAC
rnacentral:rRNA from 1 species